UGCAACUCGACUCCAUGAAGUCGGAAUCGCUAGUAAUCGUGGAUCAGAAUGCCACGGUGAAUACGUUCCCGGGCCUUGUACACACCGCCCGUCACACCAUGGGAGUGGGUUGCAAAAGAAGUAGGUAGCUUAACCUUCGGGAGGGCGCUUACCACUUUGUGAUUCAUGACUGGGGUGAAGUCGUAACAAGGUAACCGUAGGGGAACCUGC
rnacentral:rRNA from 4 species